rnacentral:rRNA from 1 species
GACGAACGCUGGCGGCGUGCUUAACACAUGCAAGUCGAACGGAAAGGCCCUGCUUUUGUGGGGUGCUCGAGUGGCGAACGGGUGAGUAACACGUGAGUAACCUGCCCUUGACUUUGGGAUAACUUCAGGAAACUGGGGCUAAUACCGGAUAGGAGCUCCUGCUGCAUGGUGGGGGUUGGAAAGUUUCUGCGGUUGGGGAUGGUCUCGCGGCUUAUCAGCUUGUUGGUGGGGUAGUGGCUUACCAAGGCUUUGACGGGUAGCCGGCCUGAGCGGGUGACCGGCCACAUUGGGACUGAGAUGCGGCCCAGACUCCUACGGGAGGCAGCAGUGGGGAAUAUUGCACAAUGGGCGGAAGCCUGAUGCAGCAACGCCGCGUGCGGGAUGACGGCCUUCGGGUUGUAAACCGCUUUCGCCUGUGACGAAGCGUGAGUGACGGUAAUGGGUAAAGAAGCACCGGCUAACUACGUG